rnacentral:rRNA from 1 species
GGGAUAACAGCUGGAAACGGGUGCUAAUACCGCAUAAGCGCACGAGGAGACAUCUCCUAGUGUGAAAAACUCCGGUGGUACAGGAUGGGCCCGCGUCUGAUUAGCUGGUUGGCAGGGUAACGGCCUACCAAGGCAACGAUCAGUAGCCGGUCUGAGAGGAUGAACGGCCACAUUGGAACUGAGACACGGUCCAAACUCCUACGGGAGGCAGCAGUGGGGAAUAUUGCACAAUGGGGGAAACCCUGAUGCAGCAACGCCGCGUGAGUGAAGAAGUAUUUCGGUAUGUAAAGCUCUAUCAGCAGGGAAGAUAAUGACGGUACCUGACUAAGAAGCUCCGGCUAAAUACGUGCCAGCAGCCGCGGUAAUACGUAUGGAGCAAGCGUUUUCCGGAUUUACUGGGUGUAAAGGGUGCGUAGGUGGCAGUGCAAGUCAGAUGUGAAAGGCCGGGGCUCAACCCCGGAGCUGCAUUUGAAACUGCUCGGCUAGAGUACAGGAGAGGCAGGCGGAAUUCCUAGUGUAGCGGUGAAAUGCGUAGAUAUUAGGAGGAACACCAGUGGCGAAGGCGGCCUGCUGGACUGUUACUGACACUGAGGCACGAAAGCGUGGGGAGCAAACAGGAUUAGAUACCCUGGUAGUCCACGCCGU